UCCGAGGUGAUCAGGUGGACUUUCCUGGAUGUUCUGGGUCUUGACCUGAUUGCUGAAAAAUGAAUACAAAUUCAGAGAAGAAGAAAGCUAGUAUGAGACUACCAAAUGAUCAUCAGACAUUUCUUGAACACCAAUUAAAUUGCUAGGUAUGCUAAAGUUUGCAAAACUGGUAUAGACACCAAGAGGGAGGUAUCAACAGAGACUCCCCAAGAGCUAAGAGGAAACCACCUUGGACUGGAAGUCAAGAGCCAAAAUUCUAGACUCUACUCUGUAAUUAACUACCUAUUUGAAUUUGGAAAAAUCACCAUCAACUUUCCCAGCCUCGUUCUCUGCAUCUGGGAAAUGAAGGCGUCGUCCAAAUGAUUACAAGCUUCUUUUCCUGCUCUUAUUGCAUGAUUCCACUUCCACAGCCCUCCAGCAUUUUUUAGCAGCUGCAUCGCUCCAUAGAGCCUGCAGAGGGCACUAGACUGGGAAUUAGAAAACCUGAUUUCCCUUCCAGCUCCACCUCUGACCAAUUGCCUGACCCUGGUCAAAUUGCUUAACCUCUUCCUAUCUCAGCUCCCUAUCCAUAAAACAGAGGGACGAAUAAACUCUCCUCCUACCACUAAGAGGUGUAGCCAGAGUUAAUACCCUCAUCGUCCUUUGAGCUCAGCAGAUGAAAGGCACUGAGAAAAGUACAAAGAAUUUUUAUGUGCUAUUGACUUUAUUUUAUUUUAUGUGGGGGAGGGAGCCGGCCCCAGCUGGAAAGCUGCUUUCUCUGAAUCAAAGGGCAGGAACCCAGCAAGUUUCUCAGGAUUGGGGCCUUAGACUGGGCUGUGUAUACAGACAGUGCCAGCCAACCCCACAGUUCAGUUUCCUUUAACCUGGUGCUCCAGGCAAUAACUGUGCAACUCUGCAAUUUAACAAUGUGUUCUUUGUCCCACAACUGUUCUCGUUUCUCAACUGCCCAGGUAAUAUGUUUGGGCCUGUAGGAAGAGUCAAAUAGUUAAUAAGGGAAGGGUUUGGCAUGCCCUACGUAAGUUCUACCAGCAAGUCCCAACAAGAAGGCAUUCUGUGUCUCCUGAUUCCUGACCUACCCCCAAAAUGUACAAAUGUACAAGGAAUGAGCCCACUUUCCCAGCAGGCUGUAAUACCAGUUUGGCCUAUAUCAAUGCAUUGGUGAGCUGUGUUUUGUUUAUGGUUUUAUGCCAUCUAUUUUCCCAUGGAUAUUAUGUUUUCUAAAGAGCCCUUAAGUUUACGUCAGCUUUUAAAGCUACCAGCAGCACCAUUUCAGUUCAUAUUAAGCCCUUAAUAUGGUAUGAAUAGGAGAGCUAUUAGACUAAAGAGCCAUAAUCAUCCCUGAGGAAAACAUCCAUCACCAACAUUUAUGUGGUCCCUGAACUUCUAAAAGGUGUCAUCUCUCUGGGGUGUAUCUGGUGAGAGCUUUCUCUGGGAGAUGCCAAAAAGCCAAUGCAUUAGAUGAAGCUUAGAAGGGCAUUUUCUAACCAUUACAAAUUGCCUAGUCUAGCAUCUCAAUUUCAUCUACGUGAAGAGCCUUAAUUAAAUUUGUUGGGGUUUGAUCCUUUAUCCCCAGAUGUGGCGCUGACAGAGAUUGCUUACAUAAAUAAUGUGUGCUCCAAGUGCUUGCCAGGCUCCUGGCUCAGCUGGGACAGCUGUAGCUUUUUGAAUGUCAUUCCCAAGAUAUCCUGCAGGUGUUCAGCUUCCCCUGUUCUACUCUGGGAAGAGAGCCGUGGGCAACAUCAGCCCAGAAGAC
rnacentral:lncRNA from 1 species